rnacentral:snoRNA from 1 species
UGCCUCGUUACACAACAAACAUGGGCACAAUCACCAUUUGUGCUUCAGCUAAGCAACGUGGCUAUAUCAAAAGCAGGUUAUGCUUCCAUCUCUGUAAAACAGAUUACAGUGGUGACAAUGAGACCUGUCACAGGC